rnacentral:rRNA from 1 species
GAUCAUGGCUCAGGAUGAACGCUAGCUACAGGCUUAACACAUGCAAGUCGAGGGGCAGCAUGGUCUUAGCUUGCUAAGGCCGAUGGCGACCGGCGCACGGGUGAGUAACGCGUAUCCAACCUGCCUUACACUCUUGGACAGCCUUCUGAAAGGGAGAUUAAUACAGGAUGUUAUCAUGAGUAAGCAUUUUCGCAUGAUUAAAGGUUUACCGGUGUAAGAUGGGGAGUGCGUU